rnacentral:rRNA from 1 species
UCAUAGAGCCAUACCCUACUUGGGGUGCUCUCAUCAGACAGCAUAGGCUAAGCAGGGUUGGGCCUGGUCAGGAUUUGGAUGGGUGACACCUACAGAAAACCCAGGCUGCUGCAGGAA